ACGAGGGGCUCGGCCGGGGCCGCCGCCGGGUCCCUCCCUUUCUCCCUCCCUCUGUCCCCCCGCCCGCCGGCGGGGCUGCCGCGGGGGCCGGCGGGGGCACGAUCCCUUAUGUAAUGCGGGGUGGGACCUCUUCUGACAUGUGAUCUACCCUGAGCUACUUUGACUCCUACGAUGACAAUGUUAUCACUGCCACAUCUCUGGGAACCAGUUAUUCACAAGUACACGGACUGUCUACUUAAGAAGCUGAGAGUGAGUUAGGAACAUUGAUGAAGCCUCUAUUCUGUGAGGUGGGUAUGUGUUUUUUAUUACGAUUUUGAAAAAGCAUAAAAAAUUCAAACCAUUUGC
rnacentral:lncRNA from 1 species